UCUUUGGUAGUAUAGUGGUUAGUAUGUGAGCUUGUCAUCAAAAACAACGCUCGAGACCCGGGUUCAAUUCCCGGCCAGAGAG
rnacentral:tRNA from 2 species